rnacentral:rRNA from 1 species
GUAAGAUGAAGUAUAGGGGCUGACGCCUGCCCGGUGCUGGAAGGUUAAAAGGAAGAGUUAGCUUCGGCGAAGCCCUGAAUUGAAGCCCCAGUAAACGGCGGCCGUAACUAUAACGGUCCUAAGGUAGCGAAAUUCCUUGUCGGGUAAGUUCCGACCCGCACGAAAGGCGUAACGAUCUGGGCACUGUCUCAACGAGAGACUCGGUGAAAUUGAAUUGCCUGUGAAGAUGCAGGCUACCCGCGACAGGACGGAAAGACCCCAUGGAGCUUUACUGUAGCUUGAUAUUGAGUGCU